rnacentral:rRNA from 1 species
AACGAACUCUGGCGGCGUGCCUAACACAUGCAAGUCGAGCGCGAAAGGAGCAAUCCGAGUAGAGCGGCGCACGGGUGCGUAACACGUGGAUAAUCUGCCUCAGGGUUGAGGAUAACCUUCCGAAAGGUUGGCUAAUACUCGGUAAGCUUACGGUGACUUCGGUCGCUGUGAGAAAACUAGACCUCUAUUUAUAAGUUUAGGCCCAGAGAUGAGUCCGCGGCCCAUCAGCUAGUUGGCGGGGUAACGGCCCACCAAGGCUACGACGGGUAGCUGGUCGGAGAGGACGAUCAGCCACACUGGAAAGGAGACACGGUCCAGCCUCCUACGGGAGGCAGGAGUGGGGAAUUUUCCACAAUGGGCGAAAGCCUGAGGGAGCAACGCCGCGUGUGUGAUGAAGGUCUUCGGAUCGUAAAGCACUUUCGACUGGGACGAAAAACCUUUGGCUAACAUCCAGGGGCCUGACGGUACCAGGAGAAGAAGCACCGGCUAACUCUGUGCCAGCAGCCGCCGUAACAC